GAUGAACGCUGGCGGCGUGCCUAAUACAUGCAAGUCGAGCGAACAGAUGAGGAGCUUGCUCCUCUGACGUUAGCGGCGGACGGGUGAGUAACACGUGGAUAACCUACCUAUAAGACUGGGAUAACUUCGGGAAACCGGAGCUAAUAUCGGAUAAUAUAUUGAACCGCAUGGUUCAAUAGUGAAAGACGGUUUUGCUGUCACUUAUAGAUGGAUCCGCGCCGCAUUAGCUAGUUGGUAAGGUAACGGCUUACCAAGGCAACGAUGCGUAGCCGACCUGAGAGGGUGAUCGGCCACACUGGAACUGAGACACGGUCCAGACUCCUACGGGAGGCAGCAGUAGGGAAUCUUCCGCGAUGGGCGAAAGCCUGACGGAGCAACGCCGCGUGAGUGAUGAAGGUCUUCGGAUCGUAAAACUCUGUUAUUAGGGAAGAACAAAUGUGUAAGUAACUAUGCACGUCUUGACGGUACCUAAUCAGAAAGCCACGGCUAACUACGUG
rnacentral:rRNA from 1 species